GGCUCGUAAUUUUUCAAUUCAAACUUGAAUCUGAUCAAAACCCUACACUUCCUCUGUCUGCUCGUCUCUUUCUUUCUCUCUUUCUUUACUCUUUCUCUCUCUGUCUGUGCAAUUCUGCGUAGUAAUCUUCUGAUUUUAGAGGCCAUGGAUGAUCUAAAGGUGGAACUGCUACUGGGAAACUGCGAUCACACUGUUCCUAAUUGCGAUUCAAAGCCUACUUUAUCUUCUUUCUCAGGUUUUGUUUCCUGUUUUCUCUUUUCUUUUUUUCUUUUUAAUUUCAAGAAAAUAUUCAGUUUUGCGACGACCUAUCUGUUCUCAAUUUCUUUAAUUUCUAAAAGUUUUUCUUUGAAAUUGAGGGUUUUUUUUUUCUCAGUUCAAACUCUCGAAGAUAAAAAUUGCGAGACAAGUUUGUGUUUUAUUUAAUGCUGUUUCAUUUAUUUUCAGUAUCGUGUUCAAAAAUUAGAGUUUAUGGUGUCUUUCAAUUGCUUCGGUUCAAAUCCUAGAAAUUAGUUAAGAUGGAAUAUAAUCAAGUAGACAUUUAGCGCCUUAUAUAAGUUAAAUGAGGUUUUGGUUGAUUAUUUAGAAGAAGUGGAAGAAACCGCAAAUUCAAUGAGUGAGGAUAUUGCAUUGGGCAGAAACAAAGAGACUUCACCUCAGGGGCCCACACUGCCAAUAUUGCAGAAAAUUAUCAAUUUGAGCUAUCAAAUUCAGAAUUUGAAGAAAGAACAUGCAAUUCUCUCCCAUCAAGUGAAGAAUGGCAAUACAGAUUCAUUUCCUGGCCCCGAAGUCUUAGAAACUCUUCAUCUUCUCAAUAAUGCAUAUGAACUUUUAAAGAAGAAGUACCUAGAAGAGUCAUCUGAGCGCAGGCGACUUUACAAUGAAGUGAUUGAGCUGAAAGGCAAUAUUAGGGUCUUUUGCAGAUGUAGACCACUAAACCAAGUUGAAAUUGCCAAUGGUUCUAAUUAUGUGGCUGAAUUUGACCCUUCCCUAGAUAAUGAGCUACAUAUUAUUUCCUCUGAUUCUUCCAAAAAGCAAUUCAAGUUUGACCAUGUGUUUAAGCCUGAAGAUAAUCAAGAGGCUGUUUUUGCACAAACUAAACCCAUAGUGACAUCUGUGCUGGAUGGCUAUAAUGUAUGCAUAUUUGCCUAUGGGCAAACUGGAACAGGGAAGACAUUUACAAUGGAGGGGACCCCUGAAAGUAGAGGAGUGAACUAUAGAACUCUGGAGGAGUUGUUUCGCAUUUCUCAAGAGAGAAGUGGAAUUAUGAGAUAUGAGCUAUUUGUUAGCAUGUUGGAGGUUUACAAUGAGAAGAUAAGGGACCUGUUAGUGGAAAACUCCAACCAGCCCCCUAAAAAGUUGGAGAUAAAGCAAGCAGCAGAAGGGACACAAGAAGUUCCAGGACUUGUUGAAACUCGAGUUUAUGGCACAGAGGAAGUAUGGGAGCUGCUCAAGUCUGGAAGCCAAGCCAGAUCAGUUGGUUCUACCAGUGCUAAUGAGCUCAGCAGCCGUUCUCACUGUUUGUUGCGAGUAACUGUAAAAGGGGAGAGUUUAAUAGAUGGGCAGAAGACAAGGAGUCAUCUUUGGCUGGUAGAUUUGGCUGGCAGUGAGCGUGUGGCGAAGAUAGAAGUUGAAGGAGAAAGGUUGAAGGAAUCUCAAUUUAUAAAUAAAUCUCUCUCAGCGCUUGGUGAUGUUAUCUCUGCACUUGCAUCAAAAACAGGCCACAUUCCUUACAGGAACUCAAAGCUCACUCAUAUGCUACAGAGCUCUCUAGGAGGAGAUUGCAAGACAUUGAUGUUUGUCCAGAUAAGCCCAAGUGCUGCUGACCUUGGGGAGACUCUGUGCUCGUUGAAUUUUGCCAGUCGAGUUCGGGGAAUUGAAACUGGCCCUGCUCGCAAGCAGGCAGAUUUCACUGAGCUGUUCAAGUACAAGCAAAUGGCAGAAAAGCUACAGCAUGAUGAGAAGGAAACAAAGAAAUUGCAGGAGAAUUUGCAGUCCAUGCAGUUAAGGCUUGCUGCUAGGGAACAUAAGUGCAGAAGCCUUCAAGAAAAGGUCCGAGAACUUGAGAAUCUGCUGGGAGAGGAAAGGAAGACCAGACUAAAGCAGGAAACGAAAGCCUUUGCAGCCUCUUCGCAGUCUUCAUUGCCCUCUCUAAAACGAGCAGCAGAGAAGACCAGGGUAGAUAGGAAACCACCUUUGGGUCCUUCAAAACUGAGGCUACCACUGCGAAGAAUCACCAAUUUCAUACCUCCAACAAGUCCUGCCCAUACCAAGAAAACCAAAAAUACUGCUUCCAUGGUCCCAUCUUCAGUGCAGGAUAAAGAAAAUAUUGCAAGAACUGCAAUGGCAGGAAGGGACACAAAAAGCCUUUUGCAACCGAGACGUAUUUCUAUUGCUGUUAGACCCUCUACUACAAUGACAACAUCAGCACAGGUUCGUCAGCCUAAGAGACGGGUAUCUAUUGCUACCUUCCAGCCUGAUCCGAACUCAAACUUGAGAACACCACUCCACACUUCUGCCUCGCGAUUAAAGAGCAGUGGUGCUGUGGGCCGACAGUCGUUCAUGAAGGACCCAAGAAAGGCCAGAUAUUCAAGAUUGUUCUCUCCAUUGCCAGAACUCCAAUCAGCAUCAGAGACAACACCAACUGCCAUGAGGAUCAGUAGUAAAUUCAUUGGGAGUCCUCCAACUCAGGCAGGCUCUUGGAAGCCAAGGCAUCCAACGGUAGUUGCAUUGCAACGAAAAGCAUUGGUGUGGAGUCCCCUCAAGUUGAGAGGAAUGAAAAAUUACAGGAAGUCAUUGUUACCUUCUCAACCCUUGGCUGAGAUCAUACAAUGAACCUUGUUUUGAAAUCAUUUUCCUGGGGCAUUACUGCACAAAUGUCCCUUUUAGGAUUAAAGAUUUUAUAUUUUUUUCAUAGGGUAUUAUUGCACAAACGUAUGCAUUUUUGCUUACUAAUAAUCCUGUCAAUUCUCAGUGACAUUUUUCUCCAUUUCUGUAUCAAAUCCCAGACUGGUUUUUUAUUUUUUAGCCUCAUUCCUGCAUAAAAAAUAUAAAGAGUUGUUUUAAGCACCCAGACUUGUCUUUCUCUAAGCUUUAGCCUUAAUAGUAAAUAAGUAGAUAGUUUAUGAGGAGUCGUGUUUUAUAAUUCUCCCUUCUUUUUUUUAUUUUUUAACUCAAGCGUCGAGUUGUAUAAAUUUUGGGUGUUUGGUAACUCUUCGUCGCUAAAGAGUUGAAGACUAAAUAUAUUAUAAUUUUUUAUUUGAGCUUAUUAAAAAAUAUAUAUAGGAA
rnacentral:misc_RNA from 1 species